CUUUUCCAAAAGUUCCAGGGUUUUAGGGUGCGGCAGUCGGCUUCGAGUCUAUAAAUGCACUCCAAUUGCAUUUUCCCCAUUGGCUGCUGAGAUUGUUUUGGAAAGAAGACUUGUGAGAGGCCAUUUUUUUAGUGAAUAUGAUGUUUGUUAUUGUUACAAGUAGAGGCUCUGAAGAGGGUGAAUUAGCUGGAAUUCUUGAUUUCAUUUUCUAUUUUGAAUCAAUGCAACAUUUGUCUUUUGAUUGUUUGAAUAGAAAGUUGAUUGGUAGAACAGGGAAAAUGUAGCGAGUGAUAUUGUUGUCGAGAUUAGAGCUAUCCAUUGCUCACUUAGCUCAAUAGGCCUAGCCUCAUCUUGGUUGGGCUUCGACAAAAGGAUUUUCUUGAUUGGCUGGUUCUACUAGGCUUGAAUUUAGUUUAAGUGAAAAUUUGCUUGACAAUAUUUGUGAAAACAACAUGAAAAAGAAUAUAUCUGUAUAUAGGUUGGAUCAUCCCACUUCACCCGAAGAUUCUUUUUGGGUAUCUGAAUAUAAGUUUGAAAAAUAAAUUUAGAAAAAUAAAUAAAUUUUGUUUAGAAAA